AUUGGACAAUGGGGGUAACCCUGAAUCAGCCAUGCCGCGUGUGUGAGGAAGGUCUUCGGAUAUUAAAGCACUUCACGUCGGGAGGAAGGGCAGUAAGUUAAUCCCUUGCUGUUUCGACGUUACCGACACACUAAGUACCGGCUAACUUCCUGCCAGCAUCCGCGGUAAUACGAAAGGUCAAAGCGUUAACUGGAAUUACUGGGCGUAAAGCGCGCGUAAGUAGUUUGUUAAGUUGGAAGUGAGAGCCCCGGGCUCAAACUGGGAACUGCUUUCAAAACUGGCAAGCUAAAGUAUGGCAGAGGGUGGUGGAAUUUCCUGUGUAGCGGUGAAAUGCGUAGAUAUAGGAAGGAACACCAGUGGCGAAGGCGACCACCUGGGCUAAUACUGACACUGAGGUGCGAAAGCGUGGGGAGCAAAC
rnacentral:rRNA from 1 species